CUGGAAGGAAGCAACGGGAACAUUCUUGUUGUGUGGCAGGGC
rnacentral:SRP_RNA from 14 species